UGGGGAAUAUUGCACAAUGGGGGAAACCCUGACCCAGCAACGCCGCGUGAAGGAAGAAGGCUUUCGGGUUGUAAACUUCUUUUACCAGGGACGAAGGACGUGACGGUACCUGGAGAAAAAGCAACGGCUAACUACGUGCCAGCAGCCGCGGUAAUACGUAGGUUGCAAGCGUUGUCCGGAUUUACUGGGUGUAAAGGGAGCGUAGACGGAUCUGCAAGUCUGGAGUGAAAGCCCGGGGCUCAACCCCGGGACUGCUUUGGAAACUGUGGAUCUAGAGUGCCGGAGAGGUAAGCGGAAUUCCUAGUGUAGCGGUGAAAUGCGUAGAUAUUAGGAGGAACACCAGUGGCGAAGGCGGCCUACUUGGGCUUUUUAACUGACGCUGAAGCACGAAAGCGUGGGUAGC
rnacentral:rRNA from 2 species